UCAAUGAAAAUUUGAAAAUGAUGUCUGACUUAAUCCCUUUUUUCCCAUUCUAGAUUCUUGGCCUUCCCACCCUACCCCGCAUGAUACAGAUACACUUUUAGGCAUCUGCAAUGGAUACGCUUGCUCCAGCCAAAGGAUACACGCCAUCCAGUGUGCAAGGAGUGCAAACAUGGACAUGAGCAGAGUCAGGACGAUAGUACUGUGUUGGGAAUAGCGGUCUAACUUCUGCAGCAGACGCAAAAGACGCAAGAGGCGCACUGUCUUUAGAAGAUGCACGAGAGACACCUGU
rnacentral:lncRNA from 1 species